AACCAUUCUCACCUGCGGCUAGACCUGCGGAAGGAUCAUUACUGAGUGAGGGCCUUCGGGCUCGACCUCCAACCCUUUGUGUACACAACUUGUUGCUUCGGGGGCGACCCUGCCGUUUCGACGGCGAGCGCCCCCGGAGGCCUUCAAACACUGCAUCUUUGCGUCGGAGUUUAAGUAAAUUAAACAAAACUUUCAGCAACGGAUCU
rnacentral:misc_RNA from 1 species